CCCCUAGAUGUUCUGGGCCGCACGCGCGCUACACUGAACAGUUCAACAAGUCUUAACCUUGGCCGAUAGGUCUGGUUAAUCUUUGAACGCUGUUCGUGAUUGGGAUAGACCUUUGCAAUUAUGGGUCUUCAACGAGGAAUUCCUAGUAAACGCAAGUCAUCAGCUUGCAUUGAUUACGUCCCUGCCCUUUGUACACACCGCCCGUCGCACCUACCGAUUGAAUGGUCCGGUGAAAUCUCGGGACGGCGGCUUGGUCGCUUGCGUCCGACUGCUGAAACUUGAUUAAACCAUAUCAUUUAGAGGAAGGUGAANUCGUANCA
rnacentral:rRNA from 1 species